rnacentral:rRNA from 1 species
CAAGCGAACAAGUGCAUGUGGUGGAUGCCUUGGCGAUCACAGGCGAUGAAGGACGCGGUAGCCUGCGAAAAGCUACGGGGAGCUGGCAAACGAGCUUUGAUCCGUAGAUGUCCGAAUGGGGAAACCCACUCCUUAUGGAGUAUCCAUGGCUGAAUACAUAGGCCAUGUGAAGCGAACGCGGUGAACUGAAACAUCUAAGUAACCGCAGGAAAAGAAAUCAACCGAGAUUCCCAAAGUAGUGGCGAGCGAAAUGGGAUGAGCCUUGCACUCUUUAUUUGUAUUGUUAGCCGAACGCUCUGGAAAGUGCGGCCAUAGCAGGUGAUAGCCCUGUAGGCGAAAACAGUAUGAAAGAACUAGGUGUGCGACAAGUAGGGCGGGACACGUGAAAUCCUGUCUGAAGAUGGGGGGACCAUCCUCCAAGGCUAAAUACUCGUGAUCGACCGAUAGUGAACCAGUACCGUGAGGGAAAGGCGAAAAGAACCCCGGGAGGGGAGUGAAAUAGAUCCUGAAACCGCAUGCAUACAAACAGUCGGAGCCUCUUUAUGGGGUGACGGCGUACCUUUUGUAUAAUGGGUCAGCGACUUACGUUCAGUAGCAAGCUUAACCGUAUAGGGCAGGCGUAGCGAAAGCGAGUCCGAAUAGGGCGUUCAGUUGCUGGGCGUAGACCCGAAACCAGGUGAUCUAUCCAUGGCCAGGAUGAAGGUGCGGUAACACGUACUGGAGGUCCGAACCCACUAACGUUGAAAAGUUAGGGGAUGAGCUGUGGAUAGGGGUGAAAGGCUAAACAAACCUGGAAAUAGCUGGUUCUCUCCGAAAACUAUUUAGGUAGUGCCUCGUGUCUCACCUUCGGGGGUAGAGCACUGUCAUGGUUGGGGGGUCUAUUGCAGAUUACCCCGCCAUAGCAAACUCCGAAUACCGAAGAGUGCAAUCACGGGAGACAGACAUCGGGUGCUAACGUCCGGUGUCAAGAGGGAAACAACCCAGACCGCCAGCUAAGGUCCCCAAAUAUGGCUAAGUGGGAAACGAAGUGGGAAGGCUAAAACAGUCAGGAGGUUGGCUUAGAAGCAGCCACCCUUUAAAGAAAGCGUAAUAGCUCACUGAUCGAGUCGUCCUGCGCGGAAGAUGUAACGGGGCUAAGCCAUAUACCGAAGCUGCGGAUGCGAGCUAGUCUCGCAUGGUAGGAGAGCGUUCCGUAAGCCUGCGAAGGUGCCUUGUAAAGGGUGCUGGAGGUAUCGGAAGUGCGAAUGCUGACAUGAGUAGCGAUAAAGGGGGUGAAAGGCCCCCUCGCCGUAAGCCCAAGGUUUCCUACGCAACGUUCAUCGGCGUAGGGUGAGUCGGCCCCUAAGGCGAGGCAGAAAUGCGUAGCUGAUGGGAAGCAGGUCAAUAUUCCUGCACCGUCGUUAGAUGCGAUGGGGGGACGGAUCGCGGAAGGUUGUCCGGGUGUUGGAAGUCCCGGUCGCUGCAUUGGAGAAGGCGCUUAGGCAAAUCCGGGCGCAGGAUUCAAGGGUGUGGCGCGAGCUCCCUCGGGAGCGAAGCAAUUGGAAGUGGUUCCAAGAAAAGCCUCUAAGCUUCAGUCUAACGAUGACCGUACCGCAAACCGACACAGGUGGGCGAGAUGAGUAUUCUAAGGCGCUUGAGAGAACUCGGGAGAAGGAACUCGGCAAAUUGGUACCGUAACUUCGGGAUAAGGUACGCCCUUGUAGCUUGACCAGCCUGCGCUGGAAGGGUGAAGGGGUUGCAAUAAACUGGUGGCUGCGACUGUUUAAUAAAAACACAGCACUCUGCAAACACGAAAGUGGACGUAUAGGGUGUGACGCCUGCCCGGUGCCGGAAGAUUAAAUGAUGGGGUGCAAGCUCUUGAUUGAAGUCCCGGUAAACGGCGGCCGUAACUAUAACGGUCCUAAGGUAGCGAAAUUCCUUGUCGGGUAAGUUCCGACCUGCACGAAUGGCGUAACGAUGGCCACACUGUCUCCUCCCGAGACUCAGCGAAGUUGAAGUGUUUGUGAUGAUGCAAUCUACCCGCGGCUAGACGGAAAGACCCCAUGAACCUUUACUGUAGCUUUGCAUUGGACUUUGAACCGAUCUGUGUAGGAUAGGUGGGAGGCUAUGAAACCGGAACGCCAGUUUCGGUGGAGCCGUCCUUGAAAUACCACCCUGGUUUGUUUGAGGUUCUAACCUUGGCCCGUGAUCCGGGUCGGGGACAGUGCAUGGUAGGCAGUUUGACUGGGGCGGUCUCCUCCCAAAGCGUAACGGAGGAGUACGAAGGUACGCUAGGUACGGUCGGAAAUCGUGCUGAUAGUGCAAUGGCAUAAGCGUGCUUAACUGCGAGACCGACAAGUCGAGCAGGUGCGAAAGCAGGUCAUAGUGAUCCGGUGGUUCUGUAUGGAAGGGCCAUCGCUCAACGGAUAAAAGGUACUCUGGGGAUAACAGGCUGAUACCGCCCAAGAGUUCAUAUCGACGGCGGUGUUUGGCACCUCGAUGUCGGCUCAUCUCAUCCUGGGGCUGUAGCCGGUCCCAAGGGUAUGGCUGUUCGCCAUUUAAAGAGGUACGUGAGCUGGGUUUAAAACGUCGUGAGACAGUUUGGUCCCUAUCUGCCGUGGGCGUUGGAUAUUUGAAGGGGGCUGCUCCUAGUACGAGAGGACCGGAGUGGACGAACCUCUGGUGUACCGGUUGUGACGCCAGUCGCAUCGCCGGGUAGCUAUGUUCGGAAGAGAUAACCGCUGAAAGCAUCUAAGCGGGAAACUCGCCUUAAGAUGAGAUAUCCCUGGAGGCUUGACCUCCUUGAAGGGUCGUUCGAGACCAGGACGUUGAUAGGUCGGGUGUGUAAGCGCAGUAAUGCGUUCAGCUAACCGAUACUAAUUGCCCGUAAGGCUUGAUCC